GAUCAGCAAUGCUGCGUGAGUGAUGAAGGCCUUAGGGUUGUAAAGCUCUUUCACCGGGGAAGAUAAUGACGGUACCCGGAGAAGAAGCCCCGGCUAACUCCGUGCCAGCAGCAGCGGUAAUACGGAGGGGGCUAGCGUUGUUCGGAAUUACUGGGCGUAUUGAGCACGUAGGCGGGCGGCUAAGUCGGAUGUGAAAUCCCUGGGCUUAACCUGGGAACUGCAUCCGAUACUGGUUGCCUAGAGUAUGGAAGAGGGAAGCGGAAUUCCAGGUGUAGCGGUGAAAUGCGUAGAUAUCUGGAGGAACAUCAGUGGCGAAGGCGGCUUCCUGGUCCAAUACUGACGCUGAGGUGCGAAAGGGUGGGGAGCAAACAGGCUUAGAUACCCUGGUAGUCCACGCCCUAAACGAUGAGAACUAGUUGUUGGAAGGGUCUGCCUUUCAGUGACGCAGCUAAACGCGUUAAGUUUCUCCGCCUGGGGGAGUACGGCCCGCAAGGUUGAAACUCAAAGGAAUUGACGG
rnacentral:rRNA from 1 species